rnacentral:rRNA from 1 species
AGUUUGAUUCUGGCUCAGAUUGAACGCUGGCGGGAUGCUUUACACAUGCAAGUCGAACGGCAGCACGGACUUCGGUCUGGUGGCGAGUGGCGAACGGGUGAGUAAUGUAUCGGAACGUGCCUAGUAGCGGGGGAUAACUACGCGAAAGCGUAGCUAAUACCACAUACGCCCUUCGGGGGAAAGCGGGGGACCUUCGGGCCUCGCACUAUUAGAGCGGCCGAUAUCGGAUUGGCUAGUUGGUGGGGUAACGGCUCACCAAGGCGACGAUCCGUAGCUGGUUUGAGGAGGACGACCAGCCACACUGGGACUGAAGUUACGGCCCAGACUCUACGAAGAGGGGCAGCAGUGGGGAAUUUUGGACAAUGGAAACCUGAUCCAGCCAUCCCGCGUGUGCGAUGAAGGCCUUCCGGGUUGUAAAGCACUUUUGGCAGAAGAAGCGGCCGCUACCCCGUGCAACUGACGUACCUACAGAAUAAGCACCGGUAACUACGUGCCAGCAGCCGCGGGUAAUACGUAGGGUGCAAGCGUUAAUCGGAAUUAUAUGGGCGUAAAGCGUGCGCAGGCGGUUCGGAAGAAAGAUGUGAAAUCCCAGAGCUUAACUUUGGAACUGCACAUUUUUAACUACCGAGCUAGAGUGUGUCAGAGGGAGGUGGAAUUCCCGUGUAGCAGUGAAAUGCGUAGAUAUGCGGAGGGAACACCGAUGGCGAAGGCAGCCUCCUGGAUAACACUGACGCUCUGCACAGAAAGCGAUGGGAGCAAACAGGAUUAGAUACCCUGGUAGUCCGCCUAAACGAUGUCCGAAAAGCUGGCUGUUGGGCCUUCGGGAGCCCCUUGGCGGCGCCCGGCUAAUAACGCGUGAAGUUGACCGCCUGGGAGUACGGUCGCAAGAUUAAAACUCAAAGAAAUUGACGGGGACCCGCACAAGCGGUGGAUGAUGUGGAUUAAUUCGAUGCAACGCGAAAAACCUUACCUACCCUUGACAUGUCUGGAAUCCCGAAGAGAUUUGGGAGUGCUCGCAAGAGAACCGGAACACAGGUGCUGCAUGGCUGUCGUCAGCUCUGAUGUCGUGAGAUGUUGGGUUAAGUCCGCAACGAGCGCAACCCUUGUCAUUAGUUGCUACGAAGGGCACUCUAAUGAGACUGCCAGUGACAAACCGGAGAAGGUGGGGGAUGACGUCAAGUCAUGGCCCUUAUGGGUAGGGCUUCACACGUCAUACAAUGGUCGGGACAGAGGGUCGCCAACCCGAGGGGAGCCAAUCCCAGAAACCCGAUCGUAGUCCGGAUCGCAGUCUGCAACUCGACUGCGUGAAGUCGGAAUCGCUAUUAAUCGCGGAUCAGCAUGUCGCGGUGAAUACGUUCCCGGAGUCUUGUACACACCGCCCGUCACACCAUGGGAGUGGGUUUUACCAGAAGUAGUUAGCCUAACCGUAAAGGAGGGCGAUUACCACGGUAGGAUUCAUGACUGGGGUGAAGUCGUAACAAAGGUAG